rnacentral:rRNA from 1 species
CAUGGCUCAGGACGAACGCUGGCGGCGUGCUUAACACAUGCAAGUCGAACGGAGCGAAUGAAAGCUUGCUUUUAUGAGCUUAGUGGCAAACGGGUGAGUAACACGUAGACAACCUGCCGACAGGAUGGGGACAACAUUCCGAAAGGAAUGCUAAUACCGAAUGAAGUCGAGGGAGGGCAUCCUCCUUCGAUGAAAGAUGGCCUCUAUUUAUAAGCUAUCACCUGUCGAUGGGUCUGCGUCUGAUUAGCUAGUUGGUGAGGUAACGGCUCACCAAGGCGACGAUCAGUAGCCGGUCUGAGAGGAUGAACGGCCACAUUGGGACUGAGACACGGCCCAGACUCCUACGG